rnacentral:lncRNA from 10 species
UCAGGUUGAGGUCUUUUUUUUUUUCUUUGAACAUUUAUUAUGAUUCUUUUUACAUUUUUUGUAGAGGUGGGGUCUUGCUAUGUUGCCCAGGCUGGUCUCCAACUCCUGGGCUCAAGCAAUUCUCCCACCUCAGACUCCCAAAGUGCUGGGAUUAUAGGCAUGAGCCACCACUCCUGGCCACAGGUUAAAAUCUCAAACAUCUUUCAAUAGAUUUAUUCCUAAGUAUUUGAUAUUUUUGAUACUG